AAGGUUAAGCAGAGAAAUGGUAUAACCCCAAUACAUACUGAGUGGCAUGUGAGAUUGGGGAGGAACAGCAGAGGAAAGGUGACAUCUGCCCACUAGUUUGAAGAGCCCUUCAAGUGGGAGCUANUUUUUAGGGCCACACCUGCAGUAUGGAGGUCCAGGCUAAGGGUCCAAUGGGAGCUACAGCUGCUGGCCUAUGCCAUAGCCAUAGCAACGCAGGAUCCAAGCCACAUCUGUGACCCACACCACAGCUCACGGCAAUGCUGGAUCCUUAACCCAACUGAGGGAGGCCCGGUAUUGAACCUACUUCAUGGUUACUGGUCGGAUUGACUUCUGGAAACUCCUCUAUUUUUUUUUUUAAGAUCAAUCCAAAAUAAAUAAAAGAAUAUAAAGUAUUAAUCAAAAGUAAACAAAGGGACUGGCUAAAGGGGUCCAGCCACCACCAGUAACUUUUAUUCCUUUUCUGUGGAGCCAGCAAUGGAAUUUUAAAUGAAAUUCCCCCUUCAGCUUCUAGGAAAUGGUGCUUUGUUUAAGUAAAGCAGCUUCCCUUCCCUGUGGUUCUGUGUGAUCCACUAUGACCAGACACUGGCUUGUUUUUAUCCACCUAGAGGAGUGUCAGAAUGUGUGAUCCCCUUCCUAUCUCUCUGAUUUUUCAAGAGACAUUCACAUGGACUUUCCAUAUUAUGAGCCCCAGGAAUCACACACAAGAGGCAUGACCUGGGGACAAGGGUUAGUGGAAGACUACUUAAUCCUGACUGUUGCUAGCAUUUUUCACACAGGUGGGUCAAAUAUUGAUUGAUUCAUUGAUUGAUUUUAUUUUUAUUUUUUGGCCAUACCUGAGGCACAUGGAAGUUCCUGGGCCAGGGAUCCAACCUGCGCCACAGCAGUGACCAGAGCCACAGCAGUGACAACACUGGAUCCUUAAUUCUUAAACCACCAGGGAACUCCUAAAAUGGUUUAUAUUAACAGGAUCUCCAACCAUCCAGGAGAGAAACUUCAGAGGGAUUGCCAGGGGAUGGGAGUCACUGCAAAAAAGAGAGGUAAUCUUAUUUCCUUGGAUUUUUAAAUUAUGGACCUUGGGCCACACAGAGGAAGUAAAUAAUUCAUAGCUUGAACACCUCUUAGAAUGGCGGUAUUGCUAAAGAUAAAAUGAAGAUCGAGUAGAAUUUUGGUCUUAAAAUACAACACAUCAUCCUGCCUUGAAUAUUUCCAGUACUCAGUAGUUGAAAUCUGGCAUAUUUGAUUGGUUAUUGCCUAUGAACAUACUGUUUAGCAAUAUCAUUCUGCCUGUCCUCUGUCCCUCAACAUAAUUCUGGAAACUCACCAUUCACUGCUUACUGAGCUUGCAGCAAAUUUAAGUAUUAGAUUAAGUAAAAGAUAAUUUUACUGAAAACAAAGAUACAAUAAACUCCAAAGCUAAGAUGAUGAAAGUUAUAGAAUAUCUUUACUGCUCACCUCCCCACUGACACAGCUUAAUUGUGUUUUCAUUCAUUCCUUAAGAACCAAAGCAACAGAAACAUCUAUUGAAGUUGCUAAAACACAACUCCUUUCAACAUGCGUUGAUGCAGUUAACAUUAAGCUUCUUCUCUGAAAUGUUCUAAUUCAGAAGGAUGAUUCUUUUUCCAGACCUAACAAAACCUCACAUCAGGGCUUCUACACAAGGUAAUCAUAAUCUUCUCUGUCUCAAACAUUUUAUCACCUUUUUGUUCCAUGGAAGUUGUGUAUUUGGAACUAUGAAAUACUUAUCAACAUAGUAGCUUUUGACAUUCUUAUCUGUAAUAAAUAAAAUUUGUUAAUGCCUAGAGGAGUAAAUUCCACCCUCUUCCUUAGUUGAUUUAGAAAUUUCCAUUGUGAUAGUAAUAAUUGUAAAUUUGAGUUUUUGCUAAGAAUAUGAUUAUCCAAAUUAUGUAUAAGCAUCCUCAAGCUGGAAUCAGAUGUCAGAGUAAAAUCUCUAUUAGCUUCUCUCCCUUCCAGGGACCUUUAAUUUAUGCCUCCCUGUUUUCUAUCACUUCUGCAUUUUUGCUCCAAUAUGCUUUCAAUUUUUUUUUUCCUUUUUUUAGGGCCACACCUGCAGCAUAUGGAAGUUCUCAGGCUAGGGGUCAAUUCAGAGCUACAGCUGCCGGCCACAGACACAGCCACAGCCACAGCAACGCAGGAUCCGAGCCACAUCUGCAGGCUACACCACAGCUCACGGCAAUGCUGGAUCCUUAACCCACUGAGUGAGGCCAGGAAUGGGACCCGCAUCCUCAUGGAUCCUAGUUGGGUUCAUUAACUGCUGAGCCACUAAAGGAACUCCCUACUUUUAAUUUUCUUAUAUCCAGAUAAUAGAUCUUCAGGCUAAAUGUAAUGGAAACUAAAAUAAUAAAGGAUGAGAAAUGUGCUUCACCCAGAAUCUAUAGUAAAGUUGUUAUAAGAACAGCUCGGAAACCUACUAGCCCUGCGGCCCCAGGGAUUGCUUUAUAAUACCAUCGUUACUACUGUUACUACAUCAUUAGGUGAAGUUUCUCCUCCCCAGAGUUUUCAGCUCCCAUUUCCCUCCCUACCCCUGCCCUAACAAUAAAAACACCACCAAGAAAAACCAAACCUUUCCUUUUGUGAAGCUUCCCUUCCCUAUUGGCUCUCAAAUGACAAUAGAUAAUGAUCCAAGACUGGCACAUCCUUGGACCUCCCACUGUGGGUUAAGGAUCUGGUGCUAUCUCUGCAGUGUGGCUCAGGUCACUGCUGAGGUAUGGGUUCAAUCCCCAGCCUGCCACAGUGGGUUAGGAAUCCAGCAUUGCCACAGUGGUGGUGUAGGUCACAGCUGUGGCUCUAUUUCAAAGUAUUGUUGGUUUGCUGGUUUGUUUUUAAAUAAGGAAUAAACGUAUAUUCUUUAUUUUUUCUCUAAGAUUAUACGCUUGAUAUGGUCAAUAACGUCUUAAAACUGGCAGUUAUUUCAAAAAAGAAAACUCUAAUUGAAGUGUAUUAUUGAUUCAUUUGAUUAAUUUGAAGUCCCAUUAUAUAUAUGUGUGUGUAUGUAUAUAUAUGCCACAUAAGGACAUUUUAUAUAUCAUAUGCAUUUAUUUACAUAUGCACAUAUAUGCUCAACCACUCUUAGACCUGAAAAAGUGUCUCGUUUUGAGAAUUUGUAGCCGGGAGGAAGUGUUUGUAGUUGAGAUGAACUAAUACAUUGACUUUGCUCGUAGUUUUAAAUCAAGUUAUUUAUGCUCUUACACAUGACGUCUCCAUGUUCACUACUUUUAGGUAUGAACUGAAUUAAUCUAUCCUUCAUUCCUGGACAAUCUUGCCUUCAUUCAUGUAAUCUUAAAGCAGUAGCAUCAAGAAUAACAAGCUCAGUUUAACUUAACCCAAGCCUUUCAUUUUAUAAUUGAGAAAACUGAGAGUUGGGAAAGAUAAAUGACUUUCUUAUAUUCUUCAUUAGAUGGCAAUUCAUUGCAUAUCUUACAACUAAGGAUUUAAAGUAACCUACAGAUAAAAUACAAGAGGAUAGAAAAUAAACACAAUAGGAUCUAAACAGUGACUGCAAUUGGCUGCAAAUAUGGUUCUAGGUGUCCAAGUAGCAAAAACAGGAUGUGAUCUUCACAAAAUCCAAAAUGCCUCUGAGCUGCUAUCCGAUUAAUGUGCUUAGAGGAAGCAUAGUGUUCCUACAGAGGGCUGAGAACCACGCUUCAAUCCACUAUAUUCUUUAUCACAAACCAAGCAACUGACUCCCACCCUGGUUUCCUUCUACCAUGACUCCCAAAUGAGUUUUUAAUUGUAUAUGAGAAAGAUUAUUCAAAGUGAGACACCCCCUCCCAUUUCUUAACGAUUUCUCUUUCUUUGGAAAAGAUUGCUGUGUUACUCACUGUCCUUUGCGAUAAUCUUGCCUGUCUUGUUAGCACACAUCUGCAUCUCAUUGCUUCAGCCAGGUUCUGAGCUCUAAGAGGUCAGGGAACAACUUUACCUCCACCUGUCUUCCGUGGGGAUGGCAGAGUGUCUCACAAGCAGUCACUGUCAAAAUGUUAAACAUGGGAAAGGAGAAGAAUAAAGAGAAAGAACAGAAAAUAUCUUUGUGUACUCACCAUCCAUCUAGGGAACAUUUGGCUAAAAGGUGGUGGCUGUGUAUUUGUGUUUCGUCUUUAAAGUUGCCAUGCCCUUAAAGGCAUGUGAAUACAAUAAAGACUUAAUUCAAAUGUUAAAAUAUAAGGAGACAGGGCUUAUUUUUCAAAGGUAUCUUCUAGGGGAUUUAAUUUUUAUUUUGUUUUUUUUUUUCAAAUAUUUGAAAUAACACUUUUCAAUAUCUUUUGAGCAGUUACUCUAUGCCAGGCACUAUUCUGAAUGAUUUAUAUGUACAGAUUUGUUUAAUGGUUAAACACUUACUUAUAAGACUUUAUCAAAUGUCCCCUUCUGAUCUGCUGCAAAAUUGCCCAGACUUUAACAAAGCUCCUUCUUUGCCCUCUUAUACAUUUCCCUCUGAUACUUCAAACUAUUCUCCAUAUGUUUUCUUAACUUACUGCUUCCUGUACCAUUUAUGAUGUGACACUGCCAAUUUUUAUGUAUCUUUGAGUGACUUCUGAUGAGAAAAUUUGGCAACUGUAUUAAUGAUUUUGGAGCCACAUUUGCACUAAUGGUUUGAUACCUAGAACUCCCUCUGUACAUGGCAAUUACGAUGAUGUCUCAUUGAACUUAGUGCCAAUAUUUCUGUUCUAUUGGAAUUUAGACAGGAACUAAAGGUUCACAACAGAAAAUGUGUUGCAGUGAUAAUUUGCUACUGCGUGGUUUGACCCUUGCCAGUAUAGUCACUGAAACAUACUGAAUAACUCGCAAAGACCCUGACCCAGAAUAAGGCCAUGCAAAUAAUAUCUUAGCUUCCUAAGGCAAAUUAAAUGCCUCUUCAAAAAUCACUGGGGUGUAAAUGCUUACUACACACUGGAAAGGAUCCUGUAAACAUACAGGUUACUGUCUUGGGGAAAUAUAUUUAAUUUUUUUUUCAGGUUCAUGAUACUAUAUUGUAAUUACCUAUAGUAGGAAAUAAAAUGUUAUAAUUAAGUUUUUGAGGCAUACACAUAAACAUACAUCCAUACAUAUUGCAUAAAUAUGGACACAUAUACCUACACAUUUCACAUGUAUCAAUUAUCUACUGUCACAAUAAUGCUACAUAAGUCACACUCCAAGUCAGCAGAUUAAAACAUAUCUAUAGGCUGAAGAAAUGUUGGUUGAUCUAGACUGAACUUGGCUGGGUAAUUCUUUUGGUCUCCCCUGGGGUAUGGGAAGUGUCUCUGAUCCAGGGACCUUCUAGGCUGGGACCUUCUAGGCAGGUGUGGCACAUUGCUCUCAUGAAGAUGGCAGAAGGGAAAGAACAAAUCAACCCAAACACCCAAGCACUUAUCAAGACCCUGCUUAUGGCAUAACUACCACCAAUCCCAUUGACUAUGUCAUAUUUCAAGAGUUGAGAAUUACAGGCAUCCUGGGUAGAACAGCAUUGCACACGUGGUGAAGAACAUGAAUAUAGAAAAGGGUAGAGAGAUGGGACUGAUAAUGCAGUUUAUGUACAGCUGACCCUUGAACUUCUCAGGUUAGAAAUGUGCAAAUCCACUUAUAUGCAGAUUUUUUGAUAAAUACUCCAAGAUCUGUGGUUGAUUUAAUCUGUGAUUCAGAUCCAUGGCUACAGAGGGCAGACUAUAAAGUUAUAUGUGGAGUUUUGGCUGUGUGGGGUAGGUGCCCCAACCCCAACGUUGUUCAAGGGUUAACUGUACAUAUAUAUAUAUAUGUUUAGUUAUUCAAGUAUCACUUUGUUUAAUUCCAAAAGCAUCUAUACAUUGUCUAAAGAUGAUCUUAAAGUCCACUUUUCUUUGUUAAUAAUAAAUGUGCUAAUUUCCUGGGUGACAAUAUUAAUAAUGGCUAUCAUGUAUUAGAAGUUUAAGCAAAUACCAGCCACUAUGAAAAGGAUUUUUCAUUCUUCACUUAAUUUAAUUUUUACAACUUGGAAAUGUUAGUUCUCACAACAGUGAAAUGUAGGUAUGUAAUUAAUCUCAUUUUAAAGAUCAGAAACUGAGGCUGAACCAAGUAACUUAGAUAGUGUGGGGAGAAGCCUGAGUUCACAUUCAGUUCUACAUUGUUCCAAUGUAUGUGCUAUUUAUAUGUACAUUACCUCUUACCAUACUUAAAGUCCUCUGACACUGGCCCUCAGCCACCCUCCCUAACACCAUGCAUGAGUCCCUUCCUUCCUGCCCAGUGAUAUCCUAACCUGUCCUGUAUUAUAGAGUAUCAUUUGCAUGAAAGAUGCUUCAAAACCUAUCUCCUAAUAGUCCAUUAGGGAAAACCUUUUUGACUUCUGAUCUACCAUAACUGUGGUCUGAAACUGUCCUUAAGAUAGCUCAUGUAUCCUCAUUUUUGCUUAAUGAACUUUGCCAGCUCACAAGCUUUUCGAGAAAAGAAGACCACUCUCCAUCUUUCUUUCCAGCACUUACAUUACCAUCAGUCAUCUUUAAAUAAUCAAUCAAUCAAUAGCCAUCAAUUUCCUCCUUCCAAAUUUGGACUGAGCACCAAAUAAUUCAUGGAAAAGAUACCUGAACUCAGAAGGUAAUUUUUUCUUACACACAAGAUCCUUUCAGAAUAGGAAGACAAUUGCUAGAAAAUUCCUUUGAACAAGAAAUUUCCUGCUUAUAAAGGUUGGUUUAUAGCCAAGGAGAUAAGAAAAAUGGAAACAACUAGAAGAAAAAAAGGCUGAGUAAAAAGGGGAUAGUCUAGGGUGGGAGAAGAAAGAGAGGAGAAAAGGGUGUGACAAGCACAGUGGGCCCUCUUUGCCUCAGAUAUGGAGCCUUGGAAAUGGGACCACAGAUACCGAACCAGGGAUACAGAGGACUGACCUGGUCCUGGAACCAACCCCAGUGCACACUGAGGGACAACUAUAUAAAUAAAAGAAGGAAGAGGAGGAAGAAGACGACAAGGAGG
rnacentral:lncRNA from 1 species